UUGCGUGCUCAGUCAACCGAACGUGACAGGGAUAAUGAACGCGAUGAUUUUCCGGUUUCUCAUCGCGCCAACGAAACGGCAGUCGAGCGUCUCACCUGUCUGGCCC
rnacentral:sRNA from 1 species